rnacentral:tRNA from 2 species
GCGCUCGUGGCGUAAUUGGUAGCCGCGUUGGACUUAGGAUCCAAUGGCGAAAGUCGUGGGGGUUCGAGUCCCCCCGAGCGCA